rnacentral:tRNA from 3 species
GCCCGGAUGGCGGAACUGGUAGACGCACGGGACUUAAAAUCCCGGGGCUUUGGCCGUGUGGGUUCGAGUCCCACUCCGGGCACCA